ensembl:lncRNA
UAUCAGUGAUGCAGACUUUGAUGUGUCACGAAGGCUGCUGCUGAUGGCAGUGUUUUAUAGCCCAGGUGAGGUCAGUGUCCUCUGGUGAAAGAUGAGGGCAGCCUCCCGGAUGGCAUUGGCAUAAUAAAGCAGUUCCUAACUUUGGAAAGGUCUCCCUUAUGAGAUGUGCUGCUAAAUGACUCCUUUCAGUGGGUUCUCUUUCGGGAUUUCGGUUGGUGCAGCUCUUCUCCUUCAUGGCUCUGUGGUUAUGCAGAUGGAACGGCCUGAUUAGGAAGACUGAAGGACAGAGACUGGGAACGGAGUUCCUGGACAUCAGUGGGACCUUCUGCCUGCCUGGAGGGGACAGAGGUGCUGCAGCCUUGGAUUAUGGGAUGCAGGUGGAUGACCGACGUACAGCAUGGACCUGGGACCUACUGGGGGAAGUCCUGGAGGAAAAGCACUGCUCACAGAUCCAGUGUCCCCUCUCUGGGCGGUGCUGCUGCCCUCAGUGUGGUGGAGCUCCUCGUGUGACCUCUGUGCAGUGCAGACGCUCCUGGGGAACUGGUGCCACCAGAUAAAGCUCAUUCCUGAGCUCAAGCUUGUUGCCUCCUGCUCAGCAACUGAUAAGGGAGCUGCGGUGCUUGCUUGGCCAUGAAAUAACGCAGGGAAACUCCAGUAAGACAGGUCUCAGCCUCUGUUCUGUAAAGUAUCUGUUGCACAAUUGCGCCGGGCGAUGCUGCUGGCACCUUAAUGUUGCCUCCCCUCCAGGUAAAACCGACCCGUACCAAACUUUUGGGCUGUGGGAAAUGGGAGCUGGGGAGAAAAUGUGGAAGGGGCUCAGUUGUUGUUUGCAGUGCCCCGUGAAUAAAGGAAGCUUUUGAAAGCUCCUGCAGGGAGAGAAUGAAUGGGUGCAGGAUCAGCUCCUGUUACG